rnacentral:lncRNA from 1 species
CAAAACUGGAGUGAUGAGUGAUCUUCAUCAAGCCCUGGGAACUAUCUUCCCAGUGAAUCUGGAAGCGGUCUCUGAUUGUACAGAGUCACUAUGUAUUCCAUCCUCGUGCCUCCCUGGAGUAUAAGUUAUGAUAUAUCAGCAUUGUCUUUGAGGUCUACCAAAUCUGUGGAUAUGCAAUAUGCUGAAGUGUGGAGAUGGAAUGAAGUUGAAAGGAUUCAUGAAUAAAAUGCUCAAGAGACACCUGCAUGCCCUUGCAAGGCAGAUUCGUGUCCAUUUCUUCUGAAGAACAGUAAAAAGUGCCUGAAAAUCAGGGUCUCCCAUGAGAGGAUGGUCUGAUGGAGACAUCAAUGCCUGCGAGGUUGGCUCCAAGGGCAGUGCCACGGAGGAGAGAGCUGAGGGACAUCUCUCUCUGUUGCUGCCACCCUGUUCAUCUAGACUGCAAACUGAGGCAACUCUCUCCUAUCGUGCUGUUCUACAAAACAAGAUCCCUGUCUCAGGUCUUCAGGGCUUCAGCUGCCCCAGAAAGUGGAACAAAAAAGCUCACUGGAAACACUGAAAGAGAGGACUGGAGGAGAGAGAUGAAAGGAGAUGAGUAG